rnacentral:rRNA from 1 species
UCCGUAGGUGAACCUGCGGAGGGAUCAUUACAAGUGACCCCGGCUACGGCCGGGAUGUUCAUAACCCUUUGUUGUCCGACUCUGUUGCCUCCGGGGCGACCCUGCCUUCGGGCGGGGGCUCCGGGUGGACACUUCAAACUCUUGCGUAACUUUGCAGUCUGAGUAAACUUAAUUAAUAAAUUAAAACUUUUAACAACGGAUCUCUUGGUUCUGGCAUCGAUGAAGAACGCAGCGAAAUGCGAUAAGUAAUGUGAAUUGCAGAAUUCAGUGAAUCAUCGAAUCUUUGAACGCACAUUGCGCCCCCUGGUAUUCCGGGGGGCAUGCCUGUUCGAGCGUCAUUUCACCACUCAAGCCUCGCUUGGUAUUGGGCAACGCGGUCCGCCGCGUGCCUCAAAUCGUCCGGCUGGGUCUUCUGUCCCCUAAGCGUUGUGGAAACUAUUCGCUAAAGGGUGUUCGGGAGGCUACGCCGUAAAACAACCCCAUUUCUAAGGUUGACCUCGGAUCAGGUAGGGAUACCCGCUGAACUUAAGCAUAUCAAUAAGCGGAGGA